rnacentral:rRNA from 1 species
GCAAGUCAACGGAGCGCCCCACUGACUCUGGAUGAAGUUGAANAGCUUGCUCGGAAAUGGAUGAAGGAUGAUGUGGAUUCUGCGCUCAGUGGCGAACGGGUGAGUGACACGUGGGUAAUCUGCCUGUAAGUUGGGGAUAACAGUUAGAAAUGACUGCUAAUACCGAAUGUGCUAGAAAUAGUAAAGGCGCUUCAAAGCGUCGCUUAUAGAUGAGCCUGCGGUGUAUUAGCUAGUUGGUGGGGUAAUGGCCUACCAAGGCAACGAUGCAUAGCCGGACUGAGAGGUUGAACGGCCACACUGGGACUGAGACACGGCCCAGACUCCUACGGGAGACAGCAGUUAGGAAUAUUCGGCAAUGGGGGAAACCCUGACCGAGCAAUGCCGCGUGUGGGAUGACGGUCCUUUGGAUUGUAAACCCCUUUUAUUAGGAAAGAACUGUAAGUAUAGGAAAUGAUACUUACUUGACGGUACCUUUUGAAUAAGCCCCGGCUAACUACGUG